CCCGCUGAACUUAAGCAUAUCAAUAAGCGGAGGAAAAGAAACUAACAAGGAUUCCCCUAGUAACGGCGAGUGAAGCGGGAAGAGCUCAAAUUUGUAAUCUGGCGCUUUCUGUGUCCGAGUUGUGAUCUCGAGAAGUGUUUUCCGCGCUGGACCGCAUACAAGUCUGUUGGAAUACAGCGUCAUAGUGGUGAGAACCCCGUAACUGAUGCGGAUGCCCAGCGCUUUGUGAUACACUUUCGAAGAGUCGAGUUGUUUGGGAAUGCAGCUCAAAAUGGGUGGUGAACUCCAUCUAAAGCUAAAUAUUGGCGAGAGACCGAUAGCGAACAAGUACCGUGAGGGAAAGAUGAAAAGCACUUUGGAAAGAGAGUGAAACAGUACGUGAAAUUGUUGAAAGGGAAACGCUUGAAGUCAGUCGCGUCGUCCGAGACUCAGCCUCGCCUCGGCUUGGUGUACUUCUCGGCCGACGGGUCAGCAUCAAUUUUGCCCCUUGGAUAAUGGCGAGGGAAAUGUGACACCUUUACGGGUGUGUUAUAGUCUCUUGUCGCAUGCAAGGGUCGGGAUUGAGGAACUCAGCACGCGCCUUCGGGUGUCGGGGUUUUGCCCACGAUACGUGCUUAGGAUGUUGGCGUAAUGGCUUUAAACGACCCGUCUUGAAACACGG
rnacentral:rRNA from 1 species